GGUUGGAUCAUUGUUCGUCUGUCUUCUGUUCUGUGUGGCAUUUUGGAUUUAGUUCUUCAGACAUGUCAGGGGCGAAGUCAUCCCACCUCUGGUCUUCUCUCUGAGGCAGUAACAGAAGCAGAAAGAGGAGGACGACGGUGGAGAUGUGAGAACAUGAUAUGAGGACACUGAAGACGGACUCUGCUGCAGACAGAAUGAAGUCUGAAGCUGUCUCUGUUUUUGUUCAGCAUGAAUUUGAACCUGAUGUGAUGGACUUCAGGUUUCCUGUUUGCACAGAGUUAAGUCAUUAGCAGCCUGUAAUGAGCUGCACGCUUCCUGGCACACUCACUGAUAUCAUAAAUUGGACAUUAAUACUUAAAAUUCUCA